GAUGAACGCUGGCGGCGUGCCUAAUACAUGCAAGUCGAGCGAACGACCGGGAAGUUUCUUUCCCUGUUUUUGCCGCCGGAGGGGUAAUUACCAGGUGGAAACCCUACCUUUAGAACGGGGUAAACUUGGGGAACCCGUAGCUAUUACCGGAUAAUAUUUUGACCCGCUUGGUUCAAAAGUGAAAACCGUUCUUGCGGUCACUAUUAGAUGAAUCGCGCUGCAUUAGCUAGUUGGUAAGGUAACGGCUUAACAAGGCAACGAUGCAUAGCCGACCUGAGAGGGUGAUCGGCCACACUGGAACUGAGACACGGUCCAGACUCCUACGGGAGGCAGCAGUAGGGAAUCUUCCGCAAUGGGCGAAAGCCUGACGGAGCAACGCCGCGUGAGUGAUGAAGGUCUUCGGAUCGUAAAACUCUGUUAUUAGGGAAGAACAUAUGUGUAAGUAACUGUGCACAUCUUGACGGUACCUAAUCAGAAAGCCACGGCUAACUACGUG
rnacentral:rRNA from 1 species